CCUAAUUGGUUGUUAAUUUAACCAAAUGGAUCUGCAUCCAUGAGGUUAAUACUGCCUGCAUUCACAGGAAAUGACGGGCCCUGUUCCAAACAGGAGCGCUGGCUGAGGCAUCACAUCUUUCCUCCCCGAGGAGAUGCGGUAACAUUAGUAAUUACCUCCUGGACCACAGGGCCCGAUAUCUGUCCACCUUUUUAAGUCCAUAAAUUGAGGUCAUUCAGUGAGAGGAACAGUGCAAGUUGUACAACACCAGUUUUAAAGUUGAUAAUUCAGAUGAAGCAAGUAAAUGUCCUCAAUUAAAAUAUUACGUUGCAAGCUUUCCUUCUCUUUAUGUAUAUAAUCUUGGAUGUAUUUGUUAUGUAGUGGUGAAACUGCUGCAAUUAUCAAGAGGGCGCCUAAGUGUUUGAGAUGGCUGACAGACUCAUCUGGCCUGAUGGCAACGACACAAUUAUUUCUAUGUCUUUAAUGAUUGAAGCAAUAUAAAUCUAUCUAAAACUCUCCAUGCAAACCAAACUGCAUCAAGGAUAUAUAACAUCAUACAUCUUUCUGCUAGUCCAACCUCUAUUGAAGCACCCAAUAUUAAAAGACACUUUCUGAUUAUCAUACUGGCAACAUGCAGAGCACACGUGUAUUUCAUUUAAUUGAAGGGACAGUAGCCUGCAAGUAAAAGCAAGCACAAUGUAAACUUAUUGCGUUAACGUUCUGAAGAGGUUUGAUGACACAAUAAGCACCCAACAAACUAAAGAAAUAUGUUUUUCUAGAUUGUAAGAGGGUACCCUCAGCCACAAAGUGGUCAUCCACUCCUUCAUGCAAAGCUUUAAAAAGCAUUGUAGAGAACAGUACCAUUAAAAAGUGCCGAAAUUGGUAGUGGAACCAAUCUACAAUAAUAUACAGUACUUUCUGGGAAGAAGGAAUUAUGUCUGAAUAUUUUAUAUCAAGUUCAACUUUAACUUGAUUUAAUGAAUUACAUUUUGUACAGCCCAAAAUCACAUAUUUGCCUCAGAGGGCUUUACAGUCUGUACACAUGCAACAUCCUGUGUCCCCAAACCCUGGGCACAGGAAAACCCCCAAAAAAUAAAAAAAGGGGGUAGAAAAGAAAGAACGGCAGAGGAGGAUCCCUCUCCAGAGAUGGGCAGACUGCAGAGGAUGUCAUGUGUACAG
ensembl:lncRNA